UACGAAGGGGGCUAGCGUUGUUCGGAAUUACUGGGCGUAAAGCGCACGUAGGCGGCUUUGUAGGUUAGAGGUGAAAGCCCGGGGCUCAACUCCGGAAUUGCCUUUAAGACUGCAUCGCUCGAAUUGUGGAGAGGUAAGUGGAAUUCCGAGUGUAGAGGUGAAAUUCGUAGAUAUUCGGAAGAACACCAGUGGCGAAGGCGACUUACUGGACACAUAUUGACGCUGAGGUGCGAAAGCGUGGGGAGCAAACAGG
rnacentral:rRNA from 1 species